CUGUAUAUUUUCAGGUUCCCGGACGGGGGACGACGCUGGAGGACGACGCUGGAGGACGACGUUGGAGGACCAAGGCCGGCCAACAGAAGAAGAGGAAUUUAUUGUCUAGUUAUGUACAGUGCAUCCUAUUAGUGAAAAGGCGGAAGACAGUUAACGCUGAUCCAGAUGCCUUAGUGAGACAGAGCUUGUCUCCCAUUCAACUGGAGCCCCCUACUGGAAGAUGCGGAUGCAGACCGAUGGGGCCCGUCAGAAGAUGAACGCAAGGAGCCGAUUCCGCAACCAGGAAGCCUAUUAGAGAAGUGCCAUUUAUGUCUCCCUUUCUUAUUUUUUGUCUGUUUCCUGUAUCCUCCCUACGCUAACAUAACUAAAACUUAUCUUCUCCUCCCCAUCCUCUUCCUCCAUUUUACUCUUUCCUGAUCUAAUUGCUUAAAUUGUCUUCAUUUUCUUAAUCGAUUUGUUCAUCUCAUCUUCGUUUAAUGUUUGUGUUUAUGUCAAUUUCUCGAAUUAUUUGUGUUUAUUGUGUUGAGUUUUUACUAAUUUUGUUCUAGCUGUAUAUUUUCAGGUUCCCGGACGGGGGACGACGCUGGAGGACGACGCUGGAGGACGACGUUGGAGGACCAAGGCCGGCCAACAGAAGAAGAGGAAUUUAUUGUCUAGUUAUGUACAGUGCAUCCUAUUAGUGAAAAGGCGGAAGACAGUUAACGCUGAUCCAGAUGCCUUAGUGAGACAGAGCUUGUCUCCCAUUCAACUGGAGCCCCCUACUGGAAGAUGCGGAUGCAGACCGAUGGGGCCCGUCAGAAGAUGAACGCAAGGAGCCGAUUCCGCAACCAGGAAGCCUAUUAGAGAAGUGCCAUUUAUGUCUCCCUUUCUUAUUUUUUGUCUGUUUCCUGUAUCCUCCCUACGCUAACAUAACUAAAACUUAUCUUCUCCUCCCCAUCCUCUUCCUCCAUUUUACUCUUUCCUGAUCU